rnacentral:rRNA from 1 species
UACAGAGGGGGCAAGCGUUGUUCGGAAUUACUGGGCGUAAAGGGCGCGUAGGCGGCCUGCUAAGUCGAACGUGAAAUCCCUGGGCUCAACCCAGGAACUGCGUCCGAUACUGGUUGGCUUGAAUCCGGGAGAGGGACGUGGAAUUCCAGGUGUAGCGGUGAAAUGCGUAGAUAUCUGGAGGAACACCGGUGGCGAAGGCGACGAUCUGGACGGUUACUGACGCUGAGACGCGAAAGCGUGGGGAGCAAACAGG